UGUGUGAAAUUAUUAAUAAUAGAAAGAAAGCAAUUUCUGAAUAUCGUAAAUGUCGUGCAAUGCACCGAAAAAAUAUACUUGAAAUAAGAAAAAAGCAAAUAGCAAUACUUUCUACAAUAAUUGCUAGCAACCGGAGGAAGUGCUGGACUUUGAAAAGAACAAAGAAAUUCUGGGAAGUGGAUUGCCAGAAAAAUGGUCCAAAUUUUUUCA